UCUUACCCUUUUGGUGGUGGUGGAGGC
rnacentral:piRNA from 1 species